UACGUAGGGUGCGAGCGUGUCCGGAUUUAUUGGGCGUAAAGAGCUCGUAGGCGGCUCGUCGCGUCGACCGUGAAAACCCGCGGCUUAACUGCGGGCUUGCGGUUGAUACGGGCGGGCUAGAGUUCGGUAGGGGAGACUGGAAUUCCUGGUGUAGCGGUGAAAUGCGCAGAUAUCAGGAGGAACACCGGUGGCGAAGGCGGGUCUCUGGGCCGAUACUGACGCUGAGGAGCGAAAGCGUGGGGAGCGAACAGG
rnacentral:rRNA from 1 species